ensembl:snRNA U1 U1 spliceosomal RNA
AUACUUACCUGGCAGGCGAGAUACCAUGAUCAUGAAGGUGAUUUUCCCAGGGCGAGGCUUAUCCAUUGCACUCCAGAUGUGCUGACCCCUGCGAUUUCCCCAAAUGUGGGAAACUUGACUGCAUAAUUUGUGGUAGUGGAGGACUGCAUUCAUGCUUUCCUCUG